UACGGGGGGGGCAAGCGUUGUUCGGAAUUACUGGGCGUAAAGGGCUCGUAGGCGGCCAACUAAGUCGGAUGUGAAAUCCCCAGGCUCAACCUGGGAACUGCAUCCGAUACUGGAUGGCUUGAAUCCGGGAGAGGGAUGCGGAAUUCCAGGUGUAGCGGUGAAAUGCGUAGAUAUCUGGAGGAACACCGGUGGCGAAGGCGGCAUCCUGGACCGGCAUUGACGCUGAGGAGCGAAAGCCAGGAGAGCAAACGGG
rnacentral:rRNA from 1 species